rnacentral:lncRNA from 1 species
UCACACACAUCACACACAUAUCACACACACACAUCACACACAGACACAUCACACACACAUCACACACACACAUCAGACACACAUCACACACAAACACACACACAUAUCACCCACACACACACAUACAUACACAUCACACACGCAAAUACAUCACUAAAAUCACGCACACAUCACACACACAACACACACACAUCACACACACACAUCACACACACACACACACACACACACAUCACCCACCUGACACACGCAUCUCACACACACACAUACAUCACACACAUCACACACAUCACACACAUCACACACCCACACCCAAACACACAUCACACACGCACAUACACAUCACAUAUACACAAACAUCCAUCACACACACACCCACACACAUCACACACACAUCACUAACAUCACACACACAUCACACACACACACAGAGACACACACACAUCACACACACAAAUACACACAUACAUCCACAUCACACAUACAGACAGACAUACACACACCAUACACACAGACACACACACACAUACACAGGCAAAGACACACACAUACACAGAGACACACACACACACACACAUAUCACACGCACACACGGAGGACACACACAUACAUCACACACCCAUCACACACACACACAAUACACACGCAGAGACACACACACAUCACAUACACAUCACUCUCACACACACACACACAUCUCUCACACACACACAUCACACACAUCACACACACAUCACACACAUCACACACAUCACACACACACACAUCAUACACACACACACACACAUAUUACACACACACACACACAUCACACACACAUAUCACACACACACACACAUUACCCACAUAUCACACACACAUCACACACACACCCACAUAUGAAACACACACAUUACAAACACAUCACGCACAUACACACACACAUCACACACGCACACAUAAAUCAUGCACACGCAAACACAACACACACGCGUAUCACACAUACACACACACACACACACAUCACAUGCGCGCACACACACACAUACAUCACAUAUCACACACAUCACACACACAUUACACACACACACAACAUUACACACACACACACAUCACACACACACACACAUCACACAUCACAUACACACACACACG